rnacentral:lncRNA from 1 species
ACCCGAAGUUGGUCCAUUAAGAGGAGUGGUCUUCUUUUGAGAUAGCUUCCUAUCAAUGAGAUCCAAGAAAGAUGGAGUUAUGCGUAAAAUCAAACCCAGAGGACUGGGUUCCUCUGUCUUGUCAGUGCAUGGACCUAUCUGCAUAGAUUAAAAAUAAAUAAACCAGUAAGAAAAUAUCGCCAAAUAGAAAAGAUAAGAUACAUUUAGAACUCCAUAAAAAAUUAGCUUUGUAAAAAAUAUUAGUUUCUAACAAAAAAUAACCAUAGGGACAUUAGAAGGAAAGCGAACUCGAUUUCAUGUAGUCAAUUGCUUCAGGGUUAAUCUAGUUCAAAUGCCACUUGCAACUCUUGUAAUUCAAGUAAUUAUCUGUUAAAACAUCACUAUACCUCCUUCGAUCUCAAACUGGAACCUGUUAAUGUAACCUCACGAUAAACUUCAAACCAAACUACCUAAAUAUGUGCAAACACACUACUAGAUUAUACCUUUGUUCUCUUUUUUUUCUUUCUUUUUUGAGAUGAAGGGAGGAUUAGCCACCCAAAAUUUUAUUUAAAAAGAUAAUAACAGGGUCAGCUUUGAUAACAGAGUGAAAAAAAAGAACUGAACAGGUUCCAAUUCUAACAGAUUAAUCAUUAGAGAGAAGAGAUAAUAAAACAAGAGAUGCAGCAAUGAGGUGAAUCUGCCAAUAAAAGUUGUUGAAGUCUGUCGACGAAGAACAACCAGGAUGCUGAAACCAGUCCAUAAUAAAGCCAACUCUGAAGGUAAAUAAAAACAUGAGACAUCUUUGGGUAAUGGAAGCCAGAAAUCCACUUCAAUGAAAAUUUAGUCUUCUGAAAGUGCAGGUGGAAGCUCUUUUACUUUU